CACAUGCAGUCGAACGGUGAACACGGAGCUUGCUCUGUGGGAUCAGUGGCGAACGGGUGAGUAACACGUGAGCAACCUGCCCCUGACUCUGGGAUAAGCGCUGGAAACGGCGUCUAAUACUGGAUAUGUGACGUGACCGCAUGGUCUGCGUCUGGAAAGAAUUUCGGUUGGGGAUGGGCUCGCGGCCUAUCAGCUUGUUGGUGAGGUAAUGGCUCACCAAGGCGUCGACGGGUAGCCGGCCUGAGAGGGUGACCGGCCACACUGGGACUGAGACACGGCCCAGACUCCUACGGGAGGCAGCAGUGGGGAAUAUUGCACAAUGGGCGCAAGCCUGAUGCAGCAACGCCGCGUGAGGGACGACGGCCUUCGGGUUGUAAACCUCUUUUAGCAGGGAAGAAGCGAAAGUGACGGUACCUGCAGAAAAAGCGCCGGCUAACUACGUGCCAGCAGCCGCGGUAAUACGUAGGGCGCAAGCGUUAUCCGGAAUUAUUGGGCGUAAAGAGCUCGUAGGCGGUUUGUCGCGUCUGCUGUGAAAUCCGGAGGCUCAACCUCCGGCCUGCAGUGGGUACGGGCAGACUAGAGUGCGGUAGGGGAGAUUGGAAUUCCUGGUGUAGCGGUGGAAUGCGCAGAUAUCAGGAGGAACACCGAUGGCGAAGGCAGAUCUCUGGGCCGUAACUGACGCUGAGGAGCGAAAGGGUGGGGAGCAAACAGGCUUAGAUACCCUGGUAGUCCACCCCGUAAACGUUGGGAACUAGUUGUGGGGUCCAUUCCACGGAUUCCGUGACGCAGCUAACGCAUUAAGUUCCCCGCCUGGGGAGUACGGCCGCAAGGCUAAAACUCAAAGGAAUUGACGGGGACCCGCACAAGCGGCGGAGCAUGCGGAUUAAUUCGAUGCAACGCGAAGAACCUUACCAAGGCUUGACAUAUACUAGAACGGGCCAGAAAUGGUCAACUCUUUGGACACUCGUAAACAGGUGGUGCAUGGUUGUCGUCAGCUCGUGUCGUGAGAUGUUGGGUUAAGUCCCGCAACGAGCGCAACCCUCGUUCUAUGUUGCCAGCACGUAAUGGUGGGAACUCAUGGGAUACUGCCGGGGUCAACUCGGAGGAAGGUGGGGAUGACGUCAAAUCAUCAUGCCCCUUAUGUCUUGGGCUUCACGCAUGCUACAAUGG
rnacentral:rRNA from 1 species